rnacentral:misc_RNA from 1 species
CCGAGUGCGGGUCCCUCGCGGCCCAACCUCCCACCCUUGUCUCUAUACACCUGUUGCUUUGGCGGGCCCACCGGGGCCACCUGGUCGCCGGGGGACAUCAUGUCCCCGGGCCCGCGCCCGCCGAAGCGCUCUGUGAACCCUGAUGAAGAUGGGCUGUCUGAGUACCUAUGAAAAUUGUCA